UGAGAAUUUCAAAUAUUUAUUUGUUGCCUUCUUUCUUACCGUGUGAUGUACGACUGUACCGGUGUGUUUGUCUGUGCAUGAAAGUAUAAUGUGAAUUUAUACUUGUGUUUCAGAACUGAAAAGCUCAUUUCUACUAUUAUUCACAAUCCUCUGUGCAAUUUGGGAUUAAACACAUUUAUUAACAGGCUGUCAUUCACAAUGUUUGUCAAGAAAAGAAACAAACACCCUGGCUCCACAUUUCAGGACAUCCUUUGACACAAAGAAGACUUCCCUCACCAGGAACUGAAAAGACAUCAGCCACCCUCGAACAACAAGAAUUAAUAAGAUAUCAUCAUUAAGUAUCUUAAAUAGAAAACCUCCAGAAGCAGCUACGUGGAAGUUCCAACAGCCGUGGAAGAGCACAUGGCUUAAGAA
rnacentral:lncRNA from 1 species